GCCAGCAUGGCUCAACUGGUAGAUUAUUUGUCUUGCAAGCACAAGUACCUGAGUUCAAAUCUCAGUACUUGCC
rnacentral:tRNA from 1 species